rnacentral:rRNA from 1 species
AGAACGAACGCUGGCGGCAGGCUUAACACAUGCAAGUCGAACGCUUCCUUCGGGGAGAGUGGCAGACGGGUGAGUAACACGUGGGAACGUACCCCUUUGUUCGGAAUAACCCUGGGAAACUAGGGCUAAUACCGGAUACGGCCGAGAGGCGAAAGGUUUACCGCAGAGGGAUCGGCCCGCGUCCGAUUAGCUAGUUGGUGAGGUAAUGGCUCACCAAGGCAUCGAUCGGUAGCUGGUCUGAGAGGAUGACCAGCCACAUUGGGACUGAGACACGGCCCAAACUCCUACGGGAGGCAGCAGUGGGGGAAUAUUGGACAAUGGGCGCAAGCCUGAUCCAGCCAUGCCGCGUGAGUGAUGACGGCCUUAGGGUUGUAAAGCUCUUUUACCUGGGAAGAUCAUGACGGUACCAGGAGAAUAAGCCCCGGCUAACUUCGUGCCAGCAGCCGC